rnacentral:rRNA from 1 species
AUUGAACGCUGGCGGCGUGCCUAAUACAUGCAAGUCGAGCGAAGCGGCGGAUGGGUGAGUAACGCGUGGGUCACCUGCACUUAAGUCUGGAAUACCAUUUGGAAACAGAUGAUAAUACCGGAUAAUUAAGGAUGGACCUGCGAUGCAUUAGCUCGUUGGUAAGGUAACGGCUUACCAAGGCGAUGAUGCAUAGCCGGGUUGAGAGACAGAUCGGCCACAUUGGGACUGAGACACGGCCCAAACUCCUACGGGAAGCAGCAGGAGGGAAUCUUCCACAAUUGACGAAAGGCUGAUGUAGAAACGCCGCGUGAGUGAAGAAGAUUGUCGGAUCGUAAAGCUCUGUUGGUGGUAAAGCGGUAAUCAACCAGAAAGUCACUGCUAACUACGCGCCAGUAGCCGCGGUAAUUC